rnacentral:lncRNA from 1 species
AGGAAAUCUUAUACAGGAUGGCACCUAAGAGGCACAAUUAAAGUGCUAAGAAAUCACUGCAGACAGAGAACCUGACACUGACAAGGAGAAUUACAUAUGCAUCAAUGAGGAGCUGGCAUUUUGGCUCAGUCUAGAAGUCAUAGGAAUUUUCCUGGAGAAAGUUUUUUCAAAGUGAAUAGCAUAUGCAAAAAUGGCACUUUGCUGAGAAGAAUUCUGAGUUCCUGUUUGAUGUCAACAGAAAGAAAUGCUAUAAUCAAUGUGUAGUGACAGCCAUACUAGUGACAAUAAGACCAGGCUCAAGACCAGGGAAGAGGGCAAAAAAGAAGCAGAGAGACCAUUUAAGAUACUAUAAUUCAAGUGAGAAAAGCUGGGGGAAUAGACCAAGGCCCAUGGAUCAAGAUGAGGACACUAGAAAGAGCAAGAAGAUGUCUGUUUUGAAAAUUAGCCCGAUAAGAUUUGUCAAUGGCUCAGCUUUCAAAUAAAGAUUUGAAUUAAGCCUUGGUAUGAAAAAAUAAACUGUUG